rfam:Hepatitis C virus subtype 6n isolate KM42, complete genome
UUGGCCCCUUUAUGGRAAUGAGGGCUGCGGAUGGGCGGGAUGGCUCCUGUCUCCCCGCGGUUCUCGCCCUAAUUGGGGCCC